rnacentral:tRNA from 1 species
GCCCUAAUAGUUCAAUGGAUAGAACACGUCGGUCCUAACGAUGAAAUUUCGGUUCGAUUCCGGAUUGGGGUA